rnacentral:lncRNA from 1 species
GUGUAAAGCAGUACAAACAGAGCACUUUUCCUUGGGGUGCUGCAUUCCCAAAGGCUUUUGGAGGAACCGUUGCAAGUGUGGGUGAUUUGUGAGAAGGAUGGAGGUGUAACUGUUGUAUACGGCCACUCUAACUGCAUGGCAGGGCUUGGGGAGAUAUGCUCCCAUGUAGCUGCGACACUCUUUGCCAUUGACAGUGCAUGUUGUAAGAUGAAGAAGGGACAGCUUCCUGCUCCUCCCUACC